rnacentral:rRNA from 1 species
UACAGAGGUCCCGAGCGUUUGUUCGGAUUCACUGGGCGUAAAGGGUGCGUAGGUGGCCAUGAAAGUUUGAUGUGAAAUCUCCGGGCUUAACCCGGAAAAUGCAUUGAAUACUCUGUGGCUGGAGGUUUGGAGGGGGGACUGGAAUUCUCGGUGUAGCAGUGAAAUGCGUAGAGAUCGGCAGGAACACCCAGGGCGAAAGCAGCCACCUGGGCAUCAUCUGACGCUGAGGGACGAAAGCGUGGGGAGCGAACCGGG